AUGAGCAGCGCGUUCAGCGAGGAGAUACUCGCCGACAAGCUCGCCAAGCUCAACAACACGCAGCAGUGCAUCGAAACGCUGUCGCAUUGGUGCAUUUACCAUCGGAAGGAUGCAGAGCUAAUUGUCCAAACAUGGGCCAAGCAGUUCCAUAAUUCUGGAAAUGAACAAAAGGUCCCUUUCCUUUAUCUGGCUAAUGACAUCCUACAGAACAGUAAGCGCAAUGGCACCGAGUUUGUAGAAGAAUUCUGGAAGGUCCUCCCAACAACACUUAAAGAUGUAGCUGAAAAGGGUGACGACCGUGGGAAGAAGACGGUCUCUAGGCUGGUUGAUAUAUGGCAAGAAAGGAGAGUUUUUGGUUCACGUGCUGGGGGCAUCAAGGAUGUGAUGCUUGGAACUGCCCCCCUUCCUGUAUUAGAUAUGACCAAAAAGCGCUCUCACAGUUCAUCCAUCAAGAUUGUUAAAAGAGAUUCACGUUCUGUAAAACUGAGACUAGGCGUUGGAGGAACUGCAGAGAGAAUUGUAUCUGCGUUGCAUACUGUUCUCAGUGAACAAGCAGAUGAAGAUGCUGACCUCGAAAACUGCAAGACAUCUAUGCGUCAUGUUGGAAAGAUGGAGAAGGAUGUUGACAGUGCCUGUAACAAAGCUGAGGAUCCUCGUCGUGAGACUCUUUGCACAAAAUUGAAGGAUGAGGAGGCUACCAUGAAAAAAUGCAUCGAAAAGCUCAAAGCAGUUGAAGAAAAUAGAGCAGCUGUUGUGUCUGAAUUGAAAGAGGCAUUGCAGGAACAGGAAUCGGAGCUGGAGAAGGUCCGCACUCAGUUGCAGUUGGCUGAAGCAAUGGUAGAAGAAACGGCCAACAUGCAACGGAGGCUCAACAAUGAGCCAAUCAUUCCAUCUUCCAAGCUAGCAUCAUCAGUAGAGCCAGGAAAUUCACUCUCUAAUGGGCAAGUAAAGGGCCAGCAGAAGACAGCUGCUGCUAUCCUCGCGGACAAGAUUGCAUCAUCAUCAAACUCUCAGCAAAUACUCCAAUCUGCACUUUCCAAGUUUGCUGCUGAAAAUUCAUCUGAGAUACGCUCAGAUAAAAGGAUGAAAGUCGAACAAUCCUCACAGGUCCCAAGCGUUGCGAAUGCUGCUGCCUUCGUACCAAUGCCGUCAAUGGUCACCACAGCAGCACAGCAGCCCCAGACAAUCUUGGUACAGCAAACUCCUGUGCAAGGCCAAGCUUCUGCGCCACAGCCCCAAUACAAUAUCUACCAGGCCCCUCCACAGCACUUUGUCCAGCAGCCUGGAGGUUUAAUUAUGGGCAUGCCAUACAGCAUGAACACCAUGAAUCCACCCCCACCUCCACCACCGCCGCAGAUGAUGAACCUAGCAAGGGCGCAGACACAGCCUCAACCACCUACACAGCAGAUGCUUCAGCAGCAAAUGCAGAUGAAUGUUGCGCCCCCGAUGCAGUUUACGCUUCAGCAGCCUGGUGCACCACCUUUCAGGCCUUUGCAGCCACCUCCAGGGAUGCAAUUUUUCCAUCACCAAUCUCAGUGA
rnacentral:rRNA from 1 species